GGUCCCAUGGGAUUAUUGUAGUCCCAUGGGAUAUUUGUUGUCCCAUGGGACAAAAAAAUCCCAUGGGACUAUAAUUAUCCCAUGGGAUU
rnacentral:sRNA from 1 species